rnacentral:tRNA from 1 species
GGGUAUAGUUCAGUGGUAGAGCACUUGCCUAGCAUAUGCAAUACCUUGGGUUUGAUCCCCAGUACUGCA